UUUAUAAUAAAAAAACACAGUGGUUAUAUCUUCACGUGGAACGCCAAGCCCCGGCCUCCCAGAACAGAGCACAGGAGGUGCAGGGCGUGCUGGGCGGCGGGCGGGGGCCAGGCUCGGCGGGAAGACCCCCGAGCAGCCGCCUUGCGCCUGCGCUUCUCUGCUCACGGGCUUGCCAAAGGGUGAAAGGCAACCUUUUUAAAGGUUGUAAUUACAAAAAGGCGAUGAUUCUUAGUGAAGAUUCAAACUCUCUUAAAUUAAAGAAAAAGAGAAAAGAAAGAAAGGAAUUCCUGGAUUCGUGUAAUUAAAAAGUCAAGGGCAGGUAUAGUCCUAGGCAAGCUUGGAUCCAGACAACCACCCAUUACCCAGCGACGUCGUUUUCUCUCCGGAUCUUGGCUUUGCUUUCUUCUGUGUUAACUUCACUCUCAGGAGACCUUGCCUGUUGGUGGUCCCUGGCAGCCCCAGGCUUUUGUCAUCCUUAUAGCAAAGAACUGCUGGUCCCAGCAGAUGCACCAAAGCCAUCCCUGGACCCAUGUCUUGCCCAGUGGCAUAGAAUAAGCUGCUUAGAUCACAUGCCCGUCUUUAGAGAGAAACAGAGGGCCCAGUCCUAUGCAAACUGCCAUAGACUGCCGUACAUAGAGAAAGUAGAGGAGGCUGACGCUGCGGGCUUGUUUGUCCAUCCGUUCCUGCAUCCCUUUAAAGCAUCUGCUCUGCCUUCAGAGGACUCAGUAGCGCUGCUCGACUCAGAUGGGAGGAUGUGAUCAGACGUCAGGGGAAGUUUCCCGGAAAAGGCUUAAACUACUAGAAGCCAUUAUUCAAGGAAAAUACACCAGGCGCUGGGAGGCCUGACGCGCGGCAUCUUGUCCAUCUGGCCAUUGGAGCUCCAUGCUGCGACGGCCGCGCAGAGGAGCUGGGUCCAGAGCGCCCGGCGCAUCUGCCGUAUCGCGGACUCGACGCCAGCAUCACUGCUGCAUGGAUUCAGACUGGGAUAGACUGCUCCCGAAAUUUGACUUGGAGAAGAAAGCGUGACGUGCACUUCCUGUGUGUGGCAGUCCGCGAGCCGUCCCCGGGCGCCCUCCUCCCGCCUCCACCACUUUGCGCCUGGCUUUCUCUUUGCCCGGAGGAGCCCUCCUCCCGCCUCCACUGGUGAAAUCCUCCUCCGUCCUCACUGCCCAGUUCAAGUCCUCGUCCUCUUUCCGGGCUUCCUGGUUCUCCAGAUGGGAAAAGAGGUGCUCCUAAUCCACGCUCUCGCAGGAGAAGCAGAGCAAGCGCGCAGGGAGUGCUGACUGUCCAUGAGACAUCAUCGGGAUUUCUAGCUGGCGUUUCCUAGAAUCACCUUCCAAAUGAACCACCUGUACUUGAAUGGUGGUUUGAGCGCUGGUGUCUGGAGGAACCAAAACUAAGACAAUGGCUGUAUCAAGAGUCUGAAGAAUGAAGUCAUGGUCGGAGUCUGAGUCAUGCUUCAGAACUGUUUACUGAGAGAAAAGUGCUUCUGAUGGAAGCUCACGCACCAGUGAGGUUGGGGAGCACGAGAAAGUGAGAACAGAAUGGGGCUGAAGGAAAGGACAGGAAAGGAGAAGGGGUUACUUCAACAAGUUGGUUCUGCCGGAGGCUCAGGAACGUGGAGAAGCAGUUUGAGGUGUGCAGAGGAGAAAUGCACAGAAGGCCAGGAAGCCCGACACUAGAUCACUGCCUCCUGGGAAAUCAUGAAAUCUGAUUAAAACAGACACCGUAAGGGCUCUUUUUGUGCUAUGCACUUUUCUUCCUGGGGAAUUUGCAUAUUCCCUGAUAAAAAGAUAGAUAUAAAGUGUCCUGAAGAAUAUUAAGAAGUAAACCGUAGUACAACGCCUUUAGUUUUGAAUAGUAAGAACUCUGUUUCCUCAUUUCCUUUGGAAAUCUAACAAAAUAUUCCUUAUGAAAAAUUUUUGAGGAUAAGCACUUAAAAGACAUUGCUACAAGCUGUGCUCCUAAUGUUUUCUUAUCAUUUUUUACCUACAUGGAAAGCAUACAGAUCACCAUGACGGCCCCGUAGCUGCCAAGUGAAAGGGUGUUAAGAUGAUUUUGACCCUCUACAUUGAAUGUGCUGUCAUCUUUACUGUAAAAGAAAUUACCUAGACUCAAAUCAUUAUCCAGAAGUCACUAAAUCUUUUGACAUAAAAUGGCAAAAUCUUUUAAGAAUAAAUGAUAUAGCAAGACCAAGGAUAAACUGAGUUCAACAAAAAUCAAUUGCUGUGAAAUCUAGUUUGUCUAUUUUGAUUUUGUCUAUUUCCUUGUCUUUCUCCUGGGGAGAGGAGCAGAUUUUGUACCUAAACCAAAGAUGGGGACACCACUGGUGAAGCCGUUCUUUUGUCUUCUUCCCGCAACGCAUGCCUCUGCUUGAACCUCUUCCCUCCCAGGUCUGAGGUGGGAGCUUGGGGACCCCAGGGUCCUAAGGGAAUGAC
ensembl:lncRNA